rnacentral:tRNA from 1 species
GAAAUAUGAUAUUCCGAGAUAAAGCUUCUAACUUCAAUCUCUAGCGGUGCAAUUCCGUUAAUGUUUCU